GCGCCCUCCUGACAGCAACUAAUAUGGUCUUCCCCGAGAGGGCCUUGCUUUAUCUCCCUCUCUGUCCAGGCUAUUUAGCGGGCUCAGUGAGCAGGUCUGACCUACUUUACACCGGCUUCUCCUCUAUUUUCAAGGUGUUGAUGCAGCUCAAGCUGAGACUUCCACACAGAAGGAAAAGUGGUUACUUAAGCUGAUGCCAACCUUUACCAGGUCUUAGAUUUUCCUGUUCUUGAAGACAUGGGAAGAUCCACAGAGACACUGUAAUUUCAAAUGAAAAUACCUUCAGCGUGAGCUAAAUGUGUAUUAGAAAUGUGCAAAGGAGAACCAGGUGGUGAUCAACAUCUGCAUGGCGGCGUUACAGCAUUAGUGGAAAGGAGCAUCAAGUCCUUUUGAUAAGUGUAGACUGAAGCGGUGCAGGAGAGCACACUGCCUUCCCCGUUAGACUUGCGGUCUGCAGAAGCGGAAGCUAACCUUCCGAGGUUUGUCCAGAGCAUUCCUGCCGUACAAGACCAGGAAGGAGCAACACAACCCAUGACACACUUUCUUCCCAGUUCUCAGCCUGCUUGCAAUGAAAUCUUAGCGUUAGCAUCUGAUUUAUAGAAUUCUCUCUGCCGCCGUGUUGAUUUUUACCCCAUUAAGGAUUUCUAAAACCAUACCAUCUCCGUUCUCUCUCUUUCCCAGAAGAAAGACGUUUGUUCACAUAGAUCAAAAGCACACAUUGCAAUACCCAAAUUAACCUUCCAUGUGGCAUUUUCUCUGGCCUGCUAGAUAGAGGCUGUCAAGAUCCCCCCUGCAUGUUUGUCAUGUGUGAGAAGGUUUGUCCUGACACAUGGCCUCCAUGAGACACUGGCCUUCUUAGUUGCCGUCCAGCCUAAGCUGUGGAAGGGCGUAUGGUUCUGCUCUGGGCUCAUCUGAAAAGACAUGCUCCCAACUCCUGCUUUCGAUACACUUCAAGCAAGAGGGAAAUAUAGCUCUAUUGGCUUCCUAAUAAAGGCACCUGCUAUUGCAGAUUGAAGAAAGACUCACACAGCAGCCAUCAACAGGAACAAGAAAGAGCUGGCACAAAAGCCGAGGGGAGAAGAGUACAAGGAGUGAGGAAAGGCAUUGCUCAGCUUGGUUGAUCAGAAGGUGGCAUCAGCUCAGUGAGCAGAAGGUAGGGGUUAGGGGUAUCUGCUGUUGGUUGAGAUGGUUUCUUUCUUUCCCCCACGAUAAAAGCAGCUCACUUUGGACUGGGUAUUUCCCCCUCCGCUCUGGACACUUUGCAUUCUCAUCUUGUGGUCUUGCAGUGACCCAUGGACUUUUUGAGAUAUAAGUGGUGUAACUCAACCCGGGGCUGUUGAGUGGCCAAGAAUGUCUCCUUUUACGCUUUGGUCACAGACAAGGCAAUCUUUGCAAAGCAGGCAAGCUUCAGCUUGAGGCAAACUCAAAAUUGUGUUUUCUCACAUUAAAGAAAAAUUUGGAGAAAUAAAAUAUCUACAAUAAAAGGAUUAAAAAUGCUGUGAGAACUGACAAUAAACUUUUUUAACUUUAUAAAGAGAAGGCUAAAUUGUAGUUUAUUUAGAAUUUUUACAAGUGUGUGUGUGUGUGUGUGUGUGUAUGUGUGUGUAAAUUCAGAGGAAAAUCUGAGGUUGGUUUUUCUCCUUUCACAGUGUAGUUUCUGGGAUUGAACUCAGGUCCCUCAGUUUUGACUGCAAGUACCUUUAUCUGCUAGCUUAUAGGUUUAUUUUAAAUAACAUCUUCAGUAAUUUAAUAUUCAGUUUUGAAAGACACAAUAUUGUUGAACACAUUAUAUAUACUCUUUUUACUGUUCAUUUUGGAUACAAAGCACAUCAGAAGAUAGACAGCAGCAGCCUAAGCUAUUCAUAAAGAUGAGAAAGUUUCUGUUUAAGAAAGACCUUUGUGUCUUUUGCAUAAACCAUCUGAUAUGAGCUUCUUAAGAGAUGAGAAUUUACUUUUGCUCAGUUUUGGCCCAUGAAUCAGCUGCCUCCAUUGCUUCAGGACUACCAUGAGGAAGAAAAUCAUGGCACAUAACAUGUAACAGAGCAGAGUGGCUCAUGGUGUCCAGGAAGCAGAAGAGAAGGGGAUGGGGACCAUGAUGCUCUUGCAGGCAUCUAUCCAGUGUCCCCCAUCCUCUAAGGUCGCCUCUACCUGCUAGGUUCUACCACUUCCUAGUAACGCUAGCAGUGGGUUAAUCUCCAGAUCAGAUUGCACUCCUUAGCUUUAACGAGCUGGUUACUAACCCUACAACACAUGAUCCGAGGAGACAUUUACAGUUUUACACAGUAUCUGCCUUGCUUUCUCCUCUGAUUUCAUGUUUUUCUUAAUAAUGGCUGAAAUUUGUUUUGUUAUUACGCAAUGCUCACAAAUUUGACUAGGGUCUUCAGCUCAUUAAAUUAGCAUUUACGUGUUACACUUAUGUCGAGGUAUGUCUUUGCAUGUUGGGCACUGUGGCACUGACCGUCCCUGAAGAGAAAGAUGGAGAUGCCUUCCCCCCAGUUCAUGGAAAGAGCUUUGUAUUCAGGAGGGUUAAGGAAUAUAGGCAUUGCUUUUCUUCUCUAGAACAUUUUACAUAAGAAGUGAAUCUACUAAACUCUCGGAAAGGAAUACUAUCUCUCUAGGGGAUUUCUAGGGAAUUGUAAAAUAAUCUAAAAUAUGCGGUUUCUUGGUAAUGUAAUUUUGGCUGUGGAUGUCUACCCAAUGCAUUUAGGUGAUUUAGGAUAGAUUUUAGUUUAUAAUGUCAUUUCUGAACUAGAUUUGCAAAGGUAACAUUUCCCCCUUCAGUUCCUUCCAGUUGCACAGAGCAAUUGUCCUUUUCUUCUUGUUACUCAUUUAUCUUUGGGUUUAACUGUUUUGAACAUUAGCUAAUUUCACAAAGGUCUUCAGUUAUCACCUGGACAUUUUCCAUGGCAAUGUUGGUUUGAAGAUAAAACAUUUCAAUUUUUUGUCUUAACAUGUCAAUUUCCAAUCCACUUAUUACCUUGUUAAGUACCACUUGUGAGUCUCUGAGCAAAGUGCAUUCACUUUUAUAUGAGUCCAAGCAUCUCUAUGUACACAGUGAAAAUGUCACACUUUUCCUGCUUAUGUCUGGAAGGUAAUGGUUGAGAGAAAUGAUUACUUUGGUCUGAUGGGCCAGCUUGUAAGUCUUAGCUCUGCUGCCUGGCACAUUGUGUUUCAGGAAAAGUUCUUUAGCAUCCCUGAGCCUCAGUUUACUCACUGGACAGUGGGGGAAAGUAACAGUAAGUUAGUCACGAUGUAAACCAGUCACGAUGUAAACCAGUCACGUGUUUUGUGUGCUCAGUAUGUUCCUACAUGUUAUGCUUGGAUGGGUACAUGU